AAAUUGAACGCUGGCGGCAGGCCUAACUUUAUGAACAAGUCGAACGGUACACCGAUUAGCUUGCUAAUCGCUGACGAGUCGACGGGUGAGUAAUGCUUGGGAACUUGCCCUUUGCGAGGGGAUACAGUUGGAAACGACUGCUAAUACCGCAUAACGUCUACGGACCAAAGGGGCUUCGGCUCUCGCGUAAAGAGAGGCCCAAGUGAGAUUAGCUAGUUGGUGAGGUAAAGGCUCACCAAGGCGACGAUCUCUAGCUGUUCUGAGAGGAAGAUCAGCACACUGGGACUGAGACGCGGCCCAGACUCCUACGGGAGGCAGCACGUGGGGAAUAUUGCACAAUGGGGGGAAAACCCUGAUGCAGCAUGCCGCGUGUGUGAAGAAGGCCUUCGGGUUGUAAAGCACUUUCAGUUGUGAAGGAAAAGUUGGUGGUUAUACCCAUCAGCCGUGACGUUACAACAGAAGAAGCACCGGCUAACUCCGGUGCCCAGCAGCCGCGGUAAUAACGGGAGAGGUGCGAGCGUUAAUCGGAAUUACUGGGCGUAAAGCGCAACGCAGGCGGUUUGUUAAGCUAGAUGUGAAAGCCCCGGGCUCAACCUUGGAUGGUCAUUUUAGAACUGGCAGACUAGAAGUCUUGGAGAGGGGAGUUGGAAUUCCCAGU
rnacentral:rRNA from 1 species